GACGAACGCUGGCGGCGUGCUUAACACAUGCAAGUCGAACGGAAAGGCCCUGCUUUUGUGGGGUGCUCGAGUGGCGAACGGGUGAGUAACACGUGAGUAACCUGCCCUUGACUUUGGGAUAACUUCAGGAAACUUGGGCUAAUACCGGAUAGGAGCUCCUGCUGCAUGGUGGGGGUUGGAAAGUUUCGGCGGUUGGGGAUGGACUCGCGGCUUAUCAGCUUGUUGGUGGGGUAGUGGCUUACCAAGGCUUUGACGGGUAGCCGGCCUGAGAGGGUGACCGGCCACAUUGGGACUGAGAUACGGCCCAGAAUCCUACGGGAGGCAGCAGUGGGGAAUAUUGCACAAUGGGCGGAAGCCUGAUGCAGCAACGCCGCGUGCGGGAUGACGGCCUUCGGGUUGUAAACCGCUUUCGCCUGUGACGAAGCGUGAGUGACGGUAAUGGGUAAAGAAGCACCGGCUAACUACGUG
rnacentral:rRNA from 1 species